rnacentral:rRNA from 1 species
GGAAAGGUAAGUUAGGAGUGAAAGAUACGGGCUUAACCCGUAGUACCGCUUAUAAUACUGUCUUUCUUGAGUGUGGGAGAAGGAUGACGGAAUUCCUGGUGUAGCGGUGGAAUGCGUAGAUAUCAGGAAGAACACCGGUUGCGAAGGCGGUCAUCUGGCCCAAUACUGACGCUGAAGGCUCGAAAGCUGGGGGAGCGAACAGGAUUAGAUACCCUGGUAGUCCCAGCCGUAAACGAUGGACACUAGAUGCUGGAAGAGUCAAUCCUUUCAGUGUCGUAGCUAACGCGUUAAGUGUCCCGCCUGGGGAGUACGCUCGCAAGGGUGAAACUCAAAGGAAUUGACGGGGGCCCGCACAAGCGGUGGAGCAUGUGCUUUAAUUCGAUGCAACGCGAAGAACCUUACCUGGGUUUGACAUGGGGGUGAACGUUCCCAGAGAUGGGAGCCUUUCCUUCGGGAACACCCCACACAGGUGCUGCAUGGUUGUCGUCAGCUCGUGUCGUGAGAUGUUGGGUUAAGUCCCGCAACGAGCGCAACCCCUGUCCUUAGUUGCCAGCGGAUAAUGCCGGGAACUCUAAGGAGACUGCCUGGUAUAACCAGGAGGAAGGUGGAGAUGACGUCAAAUCAUCAUGGCCCUUACGUCCAGGGCAAGACACGUGCUACAAUGGCCGGUACAACGGGAUGCGAACUCGCGAGAGCAAGCCAAUCCCUUAAAACCGGUCUUAGUUCGGAUUGGAGUCUGCAACUCGACUCCAUGAAGCUGGAAUCGCUAGUAAUCGCGGAUCAGCAUGC